GACGAACGCUGGCGGCGUGCCUAAUACAUGCAAGUAGAACGCUGAAGGAGGAGCUUGCUUCUCCGGAUGAGUUGCGAACGGGUGAGUAACGCGUAGGUAACCUGCCUGGUAGCGGGGGAUAACUAUUGGAAACGAUAGCUAAUACCGCAUAAGAGUAGAUGUCGCAUGACAUUUGCUUAAAAGGUGCAACUGCACCACUACCAGAUGGACCUGCGUUGUAUUAGCUAGUUGGUGAGGUAACGGCUCACCAAGGCAACGAUACGUAGCCGACCUGAGAGGGGGAUCGGCCACACUGGGACUGGGACACGGCCCAGACUCCUACGGGAGGCAGCAGUAGGGAAUCUUCGGCAAUGGACGGAAGUCUGACCGAGCAACGCCGCGUGAGUGAAGAAGGUUUUCGGAUCGUAAAGCUCUGUUGUAAGAGAAGAACGAGUGUGAGAGUGGAAAGUUCACACUGUGACGGUAUCUUACCAGAAAGGGACGGCUAACUACGUG
rnacentral:rRNA from 1 species